rnacentral:rRNA from 1 species
UACAGAGGGUGCGAGCGUUGUCCGGAAUCACUGGGCGUAAAGGGCGCGUAGGCGGCUUGAUAAGGUUGCGGUGAAAGCCCGGGGCUCAACCCCGGGUCGGCCGUGGCAACUGUCGAGCUGGAGCACUGUAGAGGCAGGUGGAAUUCCGGGUGUAGCGGUGGAAUGCGUAGAGAUCCGGAAGAACACCGGUGGCGAAGGCGGCCUGCUGGGUAGUGGCUGACGCUGAGGCGCGACAGCGUGGGGAGCAAACAGG